rnacentral:rRNA from 1 species
GGGUUGUGAGGUUAAGCGACUAAGCGUACACGGUGGAUGCCCUGGCAGUCAGAGGCGAUGAAGGACGUGCUAAUCUGCGAUAAGCGUCGGUAAGGUGAUAUGAACCGUUAUAACCGGCGAUUUCCGAAUGGGGAAACCCAGUGUGAUUCGUCACACUAUCAUUAACUGAAUCCAUAGGUUAAUGAGGCGAACCGGGGGAACUGAAACAUCUAAGUACCCCGAGGAAAAGAAAUCAACCGAGAUUCCCCCAGUAGCGGCGAGCGAACGGGGAGCAGCCCAGAGCCUGAAUCAGUGUGUGUGUUAGUGGAAGCGUCUGGAAAGGCGCGCGAUACAGGGUGACAGCCCCGUACACAAAAAUGCACAUGCUGUGAGCUCGAUGAGUAGGGCGGGACACGUGGUAUCCUGUCUGAAUAUGGGGGGACCAUCCUCCAAGGCUAAAUACUCCUGACUGACCGAUAGUGAACCAGUACCGUGAGGGAAAGGCGAAAAGAACCCCGGCGAGGGGAGUGAAAAAGAACCUGAAACCGUGUACGUACAAGCAGUGGGAGCACGCUUAGGCGUGUGACUGCGUACCUUUUGUAUAAUGGGUCAGCGACUUAUAUUCUGUAGCAAGGUUAACCGAAUAGGGGAGCCGAAGGGAAACCGAGUCUUAACUGGGCGUUAAGUUGCAGGGUAUAGACCCGAAACCCGGUGAUCUAGCCAUGGGCAGGUUGAAGGUUGGGUAACACUAACUGGAGGACCGAACCGACUAAUGUUGAAAAAUUAGCGGAUGACUUGUGGCUGGGGGUGAAAGGCCAAUCAAACCGGGAGAUAGCUGGUUCUCCCCGAAAGCUAUUUAGGUAGCGCCUCGUGAAUUCAUCUCCGGGGGUAGAGCACUGUUUCGGCAAGGGGGUCAUCCCGACUUACCAACCCGAUGCAAACUACGAAUACCGGAGAAUGUUAUCACGGGAGACACACGGCGGGUGCUAACGUCCGUCGUGAAGAGGGAAACAACCCAGACCGCCAGCUAAGGUCCCAAAGUCAUGGUUAAGUGGGAAACGAUGUGGGAAGGCCCAGACAGCCAGGAUGUUGGCUUAGAAGCAGCCAUCAUUUAAAGAAAGCGUAAUAGCUCACUGGUCGAGUCGGCCUGCGCGGAAGAUGUAACGGGGCUAAACCAUGCACCGAAGCUGCGGCAGCGACGCUGAUGCGUUGUUGGGUAGGGGAGCGUUCUGUAAGCCUGCGAAGGUGUGCUGUGAGGCAUGCUGGAGGUAUCAGAAGUGCGAAUGCUGACAUAAGUAACGAUAAAGCGGGUGAAAAGCCCGCUCGCCGGAAGACCAAGGGUUCCUGUCCAACGUUAAUCGGGGCAGGGUGAGUCGACCCCUAAGGCGAGGCCGAAAGGCGUAGUCGAUGGGAAACAGGUUAAUAUUCCUGUACUUGGUGUUACUGCGAAGGGGGGACGGAGAAGGCUAUGUUGGCCGGGCGACGGUUGUCCCGGUUUAAGCGUGUAGGCUGGUUUUCCAGGCAAAUCCGGAAAAUCAAGGCUGAGGCGUGAUGACGAGGCACUACGGUGCUGAAGCAACAAAUGCCCUGCUUCCAGGAAAAGCCUCUAAGCAUCAGGUAACAUCAAAUCGUACCCCAAACCGACACAGGUGGUCAGGUAGAGAAUACCAAGGCGCUUGAGAGAACUCGGGUGAAGGAACUAGGCAAAAUGGUGCCGUAACUUCGGGAGAAGGCACGCUGAUAUGUAGGUGAAGUCCCUCGCGGAUGGAGCUGAAAUCAGUCGAAGAUACCAGCUGGCUGCAACUGUUUAUUAAAAACACAGCACUGUGCAAACACGAAAGUGGACGUAUACGGUGUGACGCCUGCCCGGUGCCGGAAGGUUAAUUGAUGGGGUCAGCGCAAGCGAAGCUCUUGAUCGAAGCCCCGGUAAACGGCGGCCGUAACUAUAACGGUCCUAAGGUAGCGAAAUUCCUUGUCGGGUAAGUUCCGACCUGCACGAAUGGCGUAAUGAUGGCCAGGCUGUCUCCACCCGAGACUCAGUGAAAUUGAACUCGCUGUGAAGAUGCAGUGUACCCGCGGCAAGACGGAAAGACCCCGUGAACCUUUACUAUAGCUUGACACUGAACAUUGAGCCUUGAUGUGUAGGAUAGGUGGGAGGCUUUGAAGUGUGGACGCCAGUCUGCAUGGAGCCGACCUUGAAAUACCACCCUUUAAUGUUUGAUGUUCUAACGUUGACCCGUAAUCCGGGUUGCGGACAGUGUCUGGUGGGUAGUUUGACUGGGGCGGUCUCCUCCUAAAGAGUAACGGAGGAGCACGAAGGUUGGCUAAUCCUGGUCGGACAUCAGGAGGUUAGUGCAAUGGCAUAAGCCAGCUUGACUGCGAGCGUGACGGCGCGAGCAGGUGCGAAAGCAGGUCAUAGUGAUCCGGUGGUUCUGAAUGGAAGGGCCAUCGCUCAACGGAUAAAAGGUACUCCGGGGAUAACAGGCUGAUACCGCCCAAGAGUUCAUAUCGACGGCGGUGUUUGGCACCUCGAUGUCGGCUCAUCACAUCCUGGGGCUGAAGUAGGUCCCAAGGGUAUGGCUGUUCGCCAUUUAAAGUGGUACGCGAGCUGGGUUUAGAACGUCGUGAGACAGUUCGGUCCCUAUCUGCCGUGGGCGCUGGAGAACUGAGGGGGGCUGCUCCUAGUACGAGAGGACCGGAGUGGACGCAUCACUGGUGUUCGGGUUGUCAUGCCAAUGGCACUGCCCGGUAGCUAAAUGCGGAAGAGAUAAGUGCUGAAAGCAUCUAAGCACGAAACUUGCCCCGAGAUGAGUUCUCCCUGACUCCUUGAGAGUCCUGAAGGAACGUUGAAGACGACGACGUUGAUAGGCCGGGUGUGUAAGCGCAGCGAUGCGUUGAGCUAACCGGUACUAAUGAACCGUGAGGCUUAACCUUACAACGCCGAAG